UACGUAGGGCGCAAGCGUUGUCCGGAUUUAUUGGGCGUAAAGAGCUCGUAGGCGGCUCGUCGCGUCGACCGUGAAAACCCGCGGCUUAACUGCGGGCUUGCGGUUGAUACGGGCGGGCUAGAGUUCGGUAGGGGAGAGUGGAAUUCCUGGUGUAGCGGUGAAAUGCGCAGAUAUCAGGAGGAACACCGGUGGCGAAGGCGGGUCUCUGGGCCGAUACUGACGCUGAGGAGCGAAAGCGUGGGGAGCGAACAGG
rnacentral:rRNA from 1 species